rnacentral:lncRNA from 1 species
UAAAAAUAAUGCAUUGUAUGCCGGAAGGGAUAAAUCUGGGGCUGAGUACAAGCAAAACAAGACCAAAGGAAGCUACCUGAGCAGGUAUUCCAGAUACUCAUGUCAUACACCAAGGUUGUACCAGUGCCCCUUUCUCUGUGACACAUCCAUCCACUGGAAACUUUCGUACAACUAGCUGAAAGAAGAGAAACAUCCUAUUUCAUGUCACUGGAGCCCUAAUGAUCGCAGCCAUUUCAGGAAAUGCCAUCAAUUACAGUGAGGAGCUCAUUCAGAAGUGAAAGAUGAGUUCCAUUCUCUGUUACUUAGAGGUUAUUUUCCACACUAACUUGAUUUUUGGACCAUCUCCCUGCUAAACACUUCACAUUUCAGUUCCUCUCUGAGCCUUUAGCGGAGAUUAAAGUAGCAGUUAAAGCUGGCUAUGCCCAACAGUCAAGGCAAAUUUUGUUUACAAGAUGCUUCCUGUUACAGUGUUUGUAUUAUCUAAAAAACAGGCAAUAAAAUCUAUGAACUGGAAACCUUCUCUUGUUGUAAACGACUGUUUUAAUCAGUAUCUUCUGCUGAAUAAUCUUUCAAGGGCAGUCCA